GGAAGGAUCAUUACCGAAUUGUCAACAAGAGUUGUUGCUGGUCUCCGUAUGGGGGCAUGUGCACGCUCUGUUUACACAUCCACUCACACCUGUGCACGCUCUGUAGUUCUAUGGCCUGGGUGGGCUCUGUCCUCCUGCUGUGGUUCUAUGUCUUUACACACACACUACAACAAAGUCUCAUGGAAUGUAUGUCGCGUUUAACGCAAUGGAAUACAACUUUCAGCAACGGAUCUCUUGGCUCUCGCAUCGAUGAAGAACGCAGCGAAAUGCGAUAAGUAAUGUGAAUUGCAGAAUUCAGUGAAUCAUCGAAUCUUUGAACGCACCUUGCGCCCUUUGGCUAUUCCGAAGGGCAUGCCUGUUUGAGUAUCAUGAACACCUCAACUCUCAUGGCUUGCCAUGAUGUGCUUGGACUUUGGGGGUCUUGUUGGCCUGUGAGCCAGCUCCUCUUAAAUGAAUUAGCUUGCCGGUGUUUGGUGGCGUCACAGGUGUGAUAACUAUCUACGCUUGUGGUUUCCCACCAGGGUAACCUUCAGCAAUGAAGGUUCACCGGAGCUUAUAAAUGUCUCUCCUCAGUGAGGACAGAUUUUGACCAUUUGAUCUCAAAUCAGGUAGGACUACCCGCUGAACUUAAGCAUAUCAAUAAGCGGAGGAAA
rnacentral:rRNA from 1 species